UAGGGAAUCUUCGGCAAUGGACGAAAGUCUGACCGAGCAACGCCGCGUGAGUGAAGAAGGUUUUCGGAUCGUAAAACUCUGUUGUUAGAGAAGAACAGACGUUAGUAACUGAACGUCCCCUGACGGUAUCUAACCAGAAAGCCACGGCUAACUACGUGCCAGCAGCCGCGGUAAUACGUAGGUGGCAAGCGUUGUCCGGAUUUAUUGGGCGUAAAGCGAGCGCAGGCGGUUUCUUAAGUCUGAUGUGAAAGCCCCCGGCUCAACCGGGGAGGGUCAUUGGAAACUGGGAGACUUGAGUGCAGAAGAGGAGAGUGGAAUUCCAUGUGUAGCGGUGAAAUGCGUAGAUAUAUGGAGGAACACCAGUGGCGAAGGCGGCUCUCUGGUCUGUAACUGACGCUGAGGCUCGAAAGCGUGGGGAGCAAACAGG
rnacentral:rRNA from 1 species